rnacentral:misc_RNA from 1 species
AGGGAUUACAAAGUUUCAAUAACAACUUGAAACUGUUAAAACGAUAUGACCGACAACGUGGCGAAGACAAUAUGUACACUGUGUCGAUAACAUUUUCCGCCAACAAAAUCAGUCAAGCAGUAAAAACUUUCUCCUGACACCUUGGAUUUGUUGAGGUGAAGGCGCGAGUUGCCUACCGCUCAAGCAGCUUCGCCAGAAAAGAAGUCUCUUUCCAAGAGGGGAAAAUUCCUAACGGAUAUCCACGGCCAGGGCGAGCCGUUGACUAUGUCCGAUUCGCACGGACUGAAACCCCUGGGGCGUUCCUUGUCUCGCCUGGGGCGGAUCCACGGGGACGCUGAGCACUUCCACGAUCCCGCUGGCGUUUGCCCAAACCAGGUCCCGUCGCAUAAGUGACCUCCAAGAGGCUCCCUCGAACACAAGGUCACCUCCCUCGGGACCGUCCAAUGCCGACGAUAAAUCCCCCAAGGUUAAACACAUAACUCUGUCAAGUAUAUAAUUAUGUUGAAUAUACAAUCACGUAUAGUAGG